CAGCGGCGGACCUGUGAGGGGAUCCGACUUGCCGGCAGAACUUACGCUGCGGGACCCCGGGCACUGUUGCUGCUGCGGGAGGGAGAAGGCUGAGCAGACCAUCUGGAACCGUUUACAUCAGCUUAAAGCCUUGAAGACAAGGCGGCCCCGCUCCCGGGUUCCUCUGAGGAUUGGAAUUCUAGGUCAAUCAUGCGAGGCUGUGACAACAUGUGUAGCUACUGCAUUGUUCCUUUCACCCGGGGCAGGGAGAGGAGUCGGCCUAUUGCCUCCAUUCUAGAGGAAGUGAAGAAGCUUUCUGAGCAGGUGUGAGCCUCAGCAGCGAUUUCAUUGCUGGCUUUUGUGGUGAGACGGAGGAAGAUCACGUCCAGACAGUCUCUUUGCUCCGGGAAGUUCAGUACAACAUGGGCUUCCUCUUUGCCUACAGCAUGAGACAGAAGACACGGGCAUAUCAUAGGCUGAAGGAUGAUGUCCCGGAAGAGGUAAAAUUAAGGCGUUUGGAGGAACUCAUCACUAUCUUCCGAGAAGAAGCAACAAA
rnacentral:lncRNA from 1 species